rnacentral:rRNA from 1 species
CGUGGGGGUGUUACCGAUGCGCCCGGCCGUACAUCACACCCGAUCCCAUCCCGAACUCGGAAGUUAAGCCUAUCAGAGCCGAUGGUACUGCAGGGGAGGCCCUGUGGGAGAGUAGGACGUCGCCGGAA